CAGGGGCUGCCCGCGCCAGCUCUCCACGCUGGCCUCCCUCCCCCCAAAACCGGCCCCUCCUGAAAACACAGUGCCUAUUAAGUUGCUGAAAACAGCAGAUUUCCACUGAUACUAUACAGAUAGAGCUGACCAUUAAAUCGCAAUUUUACAUCCCCAGGCAGCAGUGGCUGCUGACAACCUCUAAAGCUUGUAAUCCCAUUUAACCCCCUCCUGUCAUGAGCAGGCCCACCCUUUUGGAAUAAUGCAGGCCAAAUUAAACCUGACACGGCAACAAGAGAAAUAAAACCCCCUUUAGCUUAAAAGUCAUGCCACAGUGGGUAACCCUGACCUUCAGCUUUCCCGCUCCCUUCUCUAGGGAGCUCCCCCCCGCCGCUGGCGUUGACAGAGGCAGGAGUGGGGAAUUGCAAGGCGGCUGGAUGGCCCUGGGGACAAAUUAAAGGGAAUUUUGCUAGACAAUAGAAGGAAAUUUCACCUGAGGGGUUUCUUUCCUUCCCCCUUUUAAAAAAAGUCGUUCUAUAGUAAUAAAAAAUAAGCCCCGAUCACUCCUUGCCAAGUGCUCCCUGCCUGACCUGACCGCCAAAGGCCAUCCCUGCUGGAGCGGUCCCAGCCUGUUUUGCAGCCUCCCUGCCUCGGAAAGGAACCUCAGCUUUUCACAGCCCAUGGCUGUGAAAGAGCCCAGGCAUUUAGAGCCCAGGAAGCUGACCACUUCUAAGGUCCUUUAAAACAAACACCACCCCCAGUAGAAAGAAGGAAAAAAAAAGAGUUCUCUUCCUUGCUCAGAUUCCUGCCUGUAAGUUGUCUGCUUUGUUAGGAGAGGAGGGGAAAGGCACAGGCAGAGUGAGACUCGUCCUGCGUUAUUCACACACGGCUAGUGCAGGAGUACAGGGGGAGCUUUCAGACCUAACCCAGGCAACCCAGGAACCCAGAGUGUUCAUUACUCUGAUCUCAUUUGGGAAAAUAACACUGUUUAUUUGACAACAUUUUCAAGAAUACUGGACUAUACGGACAAGCCUGUAUAAACAGCGUACAUCCCCACCACUGCAGCAGCACUUGCAAAUGUGGAAGAUGACCUUUCACACUUAAUCUACACACAAGCAGACAACCACAAGUUGCUCCCCAGUUCUCCUCUCUGUUUACUGCCUGCUGAAGAAAAGAGCCAAAAGUCAGAAAGCAUCUUGAAGCAGGUAUUUCAGAAGAGGCUGCUGAGUCUUCACAUACAAGGGACCUCUGCACAUUUCUGCACACUAGAAGGAAUAAGACAUGACAACCAAGCAGAGGAUAUGAAAAGCAAUCCAGCAGUCCUACUUUCUACUCUAAUUUCUUUAUGAAUUUUGAAGUCCUCAAAAGAGCUUCCUCUCCUCACUUCCCUUCUUAGUCUGAUAGCAUCAGGGUCUGGAGGAAGACUGAGUUAGGAGAGGCUACCUAGUCAAGGAAUGGAAGAAGGAGAGCAUGGAGAGAUGCAUUUCUGGAGCCAGCUGAAGUGAUUCAUCACAGCACUCUCAACUGCUUGUCUGCCAGCUGAAAUGAGCUCAGAAGAGCUCAGUGGAUGUCCCUGCCUCAAGCAGAGAUAAUGAAGUUAGCUCAGGUCACAGCUAGCGCUGACUAAAAUAACCUGUCCCAGUUUGCCUGGGAUUACUUCACUUGACUAUGUCAUUAUUUCAUUAAUACAUUACUUGAUUUCACUAUGUCACCUCUAGUGUUGGUGUGGAAAAAAACUUUGGGGAUGGCAGUUUCUGAAAGUGGUGUGUCUGCUGGCAAAAGACAUCUGGAUGAAUGUGGUCAAUCUGAACUGGUUUACACAUUAUACCUUUACAAUUCAGCCUGGAUAUCUUUGUGUGCAAAUGUUUUCUUACUGGCUUAAAAGUAUUUGUAUUUUUGGUCUACUUUGGAGUUAAGUAUAUAUAUUCAGCUAAUAAAAAUAAGGUUAGUAUA